rnacentral:rRNA from 1 species
UACGGGGGGGGCAAGCGUUGUUCGGAAUUACUGGGCGUAAAGGGCUCGUAGGUGGCCCCAUAAGUCAGACGUGAAAUCCCUCGGCUCAACCGAGGAACUGCGUCUGAGACUGCGGGGCUUGAAUCCGGGAGAGGGAUGCGGAAUUCCAGGUGUAGCGGUGAAAUGCGUAGAUAUCUGGAGGAACACCGGUGGCGAAGGCGGCAUCCUGGACCGGUAUUGACACUGAGGAGCGAAAGCCAGGGGAGCAAAC